rnacentral:lncRNA from 10 species
GAUCAUAGCUUCAGGACCUAAGUAGCUCCUGGGGAUGGGAAAGAGAUGACUGACUGAGGUGGUUGAUGGGAUUCUUACAGCCCCUGUCAGGCUUCAAUUUGCAAAGCUCCAUAGUGGAUCCCUAAACCUCUCCACACAGGAAAUUGUGCAGGAGACUGGGGGAAAGGUGACGAGGCAGGUAUCAAAUAUUUUCUAGUUCUUUGCCGGAGGCCCUGGCCAGUGGGCAUACUUUAGAAUGAGGAUAAACGAAAAGAGCACCUCUUACCCAUGAUUAUGGUGGAUGGAGUCAAGACCAGGCAUGGACAAGAUGCCAGUGGAGAGUGCUGGAGGGUGAGAACCAUGGACACCUAAGUCAACAUGUCAUCAAAGCGAAAACAGCCUGAACCUGGAGUCAAAAGCCAAGUACUAAAUCAAAGGAUUAGCAAGAUAAAGAGAUCAAGCACAAGAAGGUUGGAAAUGGCUAGAGGGAACAUGGACUUGGUGAAGGCCAUUGCCAGUGGCCAAGUGGCUAUGUCCUGCAGCUGGACUGAAAGGAUAGGAUGCCAUAAGGUGCUUCUGGAAGUCCCUUAAAAGUCCUGCACAGAGGCUGGCUGCAGUGGCUCACACCUGUAAUCCUGGCACUUUGGGAGGCUGAGGUGGACGGAUUACCUGAGGUCAGGAGUUUGAGACCAGCCUGGCCAACAUGGUGAAACUCCAUCUCUACUAAAAAUACAAAAAUUAGCCAGGCGCAGUGGCAGGCACCUGUAAUCCCAGCUACUCGGGAGGCUGAGGCAGGAGAAUCGCUUGAACCCGGGAGGCGGAGGUUGCAGUGAACUGAGAUCGCACCACUGCACUCUAGCCUGGGUGACAGAGCAAGACUCCGUCUCAAAAAAAAAAAAAAAAAAAAAAGUCCUGCACAGAAUGAACAGAAGCCACCGUGGUCAUGCCAGGGCCUUCUCUGGACACCUGGGGACUUUUGCCUUGACUGACACUCUUCUGAUAUUUCUAAAGGAAGCUUUCAGCUUGGGAAAAUUGUGGGCGGGGGUGGCGGAGGGGAAGAGGCAGGACUGGGGAAUAUUACUUCUCCUCUUCCUCGAGUCAGAGGGAGUAUUACUACAUACUCUGAAGCCAGAAUAAACAUUGAAGUGAAAAAAUGUGUUAGCGUAAGUUUAAUCCAGCCCUUCACUGUUUACAUGAACACAAUGAACAAUCAACAGCAAGUCAGUAAAUGAGUGUUUAUUGAGCAAAUGCUCUCAAGAGGCACAGCCGUGCUGCCCACCUUUCAUGCAAGCAGCAGCACCAACUUUGACCUCUCAACUUCCC